rnacentral:misc_RNA from 1 species
GAAAUGCGAUAGCUAGUGUGAAUUGCAGAUUUUAGUGAAUCAUCGAGUCUUUGAACGCACAUUGCGCCCUUUGGUAUUCCUCAGGGCAUGCCUAUUCGAGCGUCGUUUCGACCUCGAGCGCAGCUUGGUGUUGAGGGCUGCCCCGGCACCCUUUAAAAGCAUCGGCGGCAGCGCAGCUUUAUCGCAGCACAAUGCGUGAAGAGCUGUCACCUGCCCGCCUCGCACACCUCCCUCACGGGAUUUUAAGCUCGACCUCGGAUUAGGCAGGGAUACCCGCUGAACUUAA